rnacentral:tRNA from 1 species
GGACUGGUAGCUCAACGGUAGAGCAGUGGACUCUUAAUCCAUUGGUUGCGGGUUCGAUCCCCGCCCAGUUCACCA